ensembl:lncRNA
UCCUCCUCCUCUACAGACAGUCACUGUGGGUUCCUAGUCCCUCGUUCCUCUACAGACAGUCACUGUGUGUCCCUAGUCCCUCGUUCCACUACAGACAGUCACUGUGUGUCCCUAGUCCCUCCUCCUCUACAGACAUUCACUGUGUGUCCCUAGUCCCUCCUCCUCUACAGACAGUCACUGUGUGUCCCUAGUCCCUCCUCCUCUACAGACAUUCACUGUGUGUCCCUAAGUCCCUCCUCCUCCACAGACAGUCACAGUCACCAG